GAUGCAGCGACGCCGCGUGAGUGAAGAAGUAUUUCGGUACGUAAAGCUCUAUCAGCAGGGAAGAAAAUGACGGUACCUGACUAAGAAGCCCCGGCUAACUACGUGCCAGCAGCCGCGGUAAUACGUAGGGGGCAAGCGUUAUCCGGAUUUACUGGGUGUAAAGGGAGCGUAGACGGCAGCGCAAGUCUGAAGUGAAAUCCCAUGGCUUAACCAUGGAACUGCUUUGGAAACUGUGCAGCUGGAGUGCAGGAGAGGUAAGCGGAAUUCCUAGUGUAGCGGUGAAAUGCGUAGAUAUUAGGAGGAACACCAGUGGCGAAGGCGGCUUACUGGACUGUAACUGACGUUGAGGCUCGAAAGCGUGGGGAGCAAACAGGAUUAGAUACCCUGGUAGUCCACGCUGUAAACGAUGAUUACUAGGUGUUGGGGGACCAAGGUCCUUCG
rnacentral:rRNA from 1 species